rnacentral:tRNA from 1 species
GAGAGGUUAGUUAAUUCAUAACAUUAGAUUGUCAGACUAAAAUUAUCAAGAGAUAUCUCUUU